AGCAGCCGCGGUAAUUCCAGCUCCAAUAGCGUAUAUUAAAGUUGCUGCAGUUAAAAAGCUCGUAGUUGAAUUUCGGGACUAUCAUGUCGGUCGUGCCUCGGUACGUACUGGCAUUGUUGGUUUCUACCCUCUGACGAACCAUGAUGUCAUUAAUUUGGUGUUAUGGGAAGUUAGGACUGUUACUUUGAAAAAAUUAGAGUGUUUAAAGCAGGCUUUAGCUUGAAUACAUUAGCAUGGAAUAAUGAAAUAGGACGUUCGAACCUAUUUUGUUGGUUUCUAGGAUCAACGUAAUGAUUAAUAGGGAUAGUUGGGGGCAUUAGUAUUCAAUUGUCAGAGGUGAAAUUCUUGGAUUUAUUGAAGACUAACUACUGCGAAAGCAUUUGCCAAGGAUGUUUUCAUUAAUCAAGAACGAAAGUUAGGGGAUCGAAGACGAUCAGAUACCGUCGUAGU
rnacentral:rRNA from 1 species